GGAGCCUUUUAAGUGAACGCAUUCACCAGAGUUCUGAAGCAGGAACCCUCCUUAUUUGGGAGCUCUUGGCAGUACACAGUGGAAGAUUGGGUGGAAGACCUGCUUCUUGCCCGUGCCUGGAGUGGUAACAUGCCCUUCAAGUGGCUAAUGCAACGCUUAGGAUUCUGCUUCAGGACUCUUCAUGGAAUGAUUUUACAGCACAGCAGACUAAAAGCUGUAUAAUAUUCUUCAAGAAAUUAAUGAAGCUUUAAGAUGUUCGUUGUGUCAAAAAUGACAUAAGCUGCUGUCACCUUACUGUUUUCCUCUUGAAAAUUUAAAAAAAUAAUGCCUUGGGUCAAGAGUGGGUAAUGCUGGCCGCUAAAUGAAAGGCUCUUACACCUCGCAGUGCUUUGGAUGGAAGGAAGACAAGGAAAUGCAAGGGAAUGUCUUGCUUUCAGUGCUCGCAGUACUGACAGAGUAGUGCAUCCAGGAGAAAAGCCUCAGUGACAGUGACAGUGACCUCACAUUGGGCAAGCGCGAUCUUAUCUGGAUUAUUCCCAUGAAAUCAUUCCAUACUGGUUAUUUUUAAGCACACAGAUGAAAACAUUUACUUCUUGGCUGCUAGCGUUCUGUCUCACCUCGGUUGCUAUUUUAGCAAUUGUCCUAUAAAUGGACAGUGCUAUGAUCUCAUGGAUCUCUGGAAGGACAGAGAAGAGAGAUCAAAGAUACACCUGACUGAUGACGUGGGAAGGGGGCAGAGCCUACCAGCAGGAUGCUUGCAGGACAGGGACAGAGGCAAACUAAUGAAAACAUUGGGCUGUUGGCCAUAGCAUUCCCACCAACUGUAUUAUUUUUCUGUAUGUUGCUUUUAGUUAAUUCCUGAAAUAUCUCAUAGUAUCAGUUCCAAGAAGUCACUGUAAUGAAUGCCUGAGGAUCCCUCUGGUUAGGCUGACUGUGUGUACUCUGGAGUCCCUUCCUUGAAGAAUUCUAAUCCUCCCUUCAACCAAAGGGGUCUGGGCCUAUGAAUUAGCUGAGCCAUUCAUUAUAUAAUGAUUUGAGUCUAACUCUCAGACCUGGAGUUUGUUACUUGGAUUGGAAGUUGAGCACAUCAUGGUCUAUGCCCAUUUCUUUUCUUUUCUACCUUUUUAAAAGUUUUUUUUAAAUUUCAUUUUGCAUUCCAACCACAGUUCUCACUCCCAUCCCUCCUCCCAGCCCCCCUCGCCUCCACCUUCAGACCACCCCCCCACACUCCUCCCAUAUGGUAAGGGCUCCCAUGGGGAGUAGACAAAGUCUGGCCCAUUAAGUUGAGACAGGACCAAGCCCAUCCCCCCUACAUUAAGGCUGAGCAUGACAUCCCACCCUGGGGAAUGGGCUCUAACAAGCCAGCUCAUACACCAGGGAUAGAUUCUGGUUCUGUGGUCAGGGACCCCUCAGGUACAUCUAGCCACAUAAUUGUUUCCCACUUGCAGAGGGCCUAGUUCAGUCCCAUAGAAGCUUCACCAUGGUCAGUCUAGAGUUUGUGAGUUCCCAUGACUUUGGAUCAGCUGUGUAUAGAUUUCUCAUGGCCAUGUCUGAUCUACCACCUGUCUGUGAACUAACUGGCUUGGAUAUGUCUAGUGAUUGGGAAACCCAAAAGGGAAACUGGAUGGCAAAUGAAAGUGUUAUGACCAAUAUUCAUAAAGUUUUAUUGGAGAACUUUAUACUUGGUAUGUUUGGUCAAUGUGAUUUCAUGACACUAUAACACAACUGAGUGGAUGAACAGAAAUCAGACACAGUGCUUUAUACUUACAAGGUAAGCAUAAGUGCUGAUCAUGCUGUAAAUUAUGGGAAUACAUCCAUGAUAUAUCUACAAUGCAACAGUUUUGAGUACCAUUACAUAUCAGUCUAUUGUAAAAAUUUUACUGACACUUUACACUCAUGUCAUGAGCAGAAAACAAGAUAAAAGUGGGAUUUGUGUAUAUGUCUUUAAGGCAUGGCAAAGGACCUGUGAAAAACUCAGAUGCUCAGGUGUAUGAACUUGUCGUGUUUUCAGGUCACUAAGCCAACUUGGCCAUUAUCAAUUUUCAGCUCUAACCUUCUAGUUCGGGGUGAGAUGGGGCAGUAGCUCAGAAGGUACCAGUGUCUUCUACUCAUAUGUAGCUGGGCAUGAGCUGACUUUAGGGUCUUUUAUUCUGAAAGUUAACCACUGGGUUUAUUUAUUACAGGAUACAUUAUAUUUUUAUCAAAUGAAAUAAUGCAAGACUCCAUUAAUUAUGCAAGGACACCGUAGCUUCCAAGUGACUUAUUUGCCAGCCAAGCAAGCAAGAACAUUCACAUACUGGUGGUGAAUUAAUUAAAUCAUGCUUGAUCUUAGCAGUUAAAGGAAGGUUUCUUGAGAAAUAAAUUUAAGAUUAUUAGCAUUUUACCAGGAAGAGUUUUUUUAAGGGUUCAGAACACUGAGAACAAAAUCAAUAGUCAAUUUAAAAACAAAGCAAGUGAUUUUGAGUGGUUUUCUUUAGCUCUGGAUGAGUUGAAAAAUGUUUAUGGUACCAUUCAAUUAUUUCUUCAGGGAGUCAAUUCUUGGCUGGUUUGAAAUGACUAAAGAUACAGUCGCUGAACAGUCUGUGGUUCACUAUGGAACAAUUGCAGGUCAGCAUAGGCUCAGAGAAGGUGAGAAAUCACUAAUUCAACAUUACAAAAUAGAAUCUGUUAUGGUGUGUUGCAACUGAGACUAGUUAAAAUACACAGGGAGGCAAAAAAAACUUAGAUAAAUUUACAAUGCAUGUGAAAGCCUAAAAAAUUGAAAGUUUCCUUGUUGCAUUAUCCCUCAGUAGGUAAUCUGCAGAAAUUUUCAGUUUAUCAUUUGCUAGCAAAUCAAGAAAGGCAACAAAUUCCAUAUUGUAGACUCACCUACUGGCAGUUUAACAAAUUUUUCUGUUAAAAAUACAGAUUAUCUGUAAACAUUUUUGUUGCUAAGUAUCCCCUCCCUUGGGAUGUAAACAAUGUCUACCUCUCCUCCCUAGAUCCCGACAACAAAGCAAGGUGCAAUUCGACCAAAGUUCAUUUUGGGGAACCUGUGAGUUUCUUAGGGUUACAGAGCAUGGGUGAGCGGUUAAGGUCAGAAGUGUGUAAAGCAGCCAUAGUGGAAGGUCUACAACCAAUGUGGCUCUCUAAUGGCUCUGCAGAUGGCUCCCACUUACCCUAAUCCUUCUCCACUUAUAUUUUCUUAGUAUAGCCCUUCCCAGAGCCCCUGAAGCCAUGUGCAAUUAGAGCAGAAUUAUAUACAACUGGUCAGGAGGAAGGGCUGGGUACUCAGGUAAGGGUCCUUUUCUGUUCUCACUUUCCAAGUCAAUGGCCAAGAAACCCAGCUCUGAUGAUCAUCAGCAAGCGGGUGUCGCCAAACUCCUGAAGAUGUCUACAGCAUCUCUGAGGAUUACACCGAAGCUAUGAAAGUUAGUGAUGCUGUAGCCAUGGUGACAUCAUAGCACAAUACAUUCCUGAUAACAUCUGCGGUGAUGCUGGUGUGGAGAAACCUGCUGCAUUAAAGCAGAUCACACACAGUUAUGAACAGUGUGUAAUGUGUGGUUGUGACAAAAAAUGGUAUCAAAUGUCCUUUUCAUAUGUAUUAAAAUAAACCAUUUACUAUUUUAAAAAA